AGAGUUUGAUCCUGGCUCAGGAUGAACGCUGGCGGCGUGCCUAAUACAUGCAAGUCGAACGCACAGCGAAAGGUGCUUGCACCUUUCAAGUGAGUGGCGAACGGGUGAGUAACACGUGGACAACCUGCCUCAAGGCUGGGGAUAACAUUUGGAAACAGAUGCUAAUACCGAAUAAAACUCAGUGUCGCAUGACACAAAGUUAAAAGGCGCUUUGGCGUCACCUAGAGAUGGAUCCGCGGUGCAUUAGUUAGUUGGUGGGGUAAAGGCCUACCAAGACAAUGAUGCAUAGCCGAGUUGAGAGACUGAUCGGCCACAUUGGGACUGAGACACGGCCCAAACUCCUACGGGAGGCUGCAGUAGGGAAUCUUCCACAAUGGGCGAAAGCCUGAUGGAGCAACGCCGCGUGUGUGAUGAAGGCUUUCGGGUCGUAAAGCACUGUUGUAUGGGAAGAACAGCUAGAAUAGGGAAUGAUUUUAGUUUGACGGUACCAUACCAGAAAGGGACGGCUAAAUACGUGCCAGCAGCCGCGGUAAUACGUAUGUCCCGAGCGUUAUCCGGAUUUAUUGGGCGUAAAGCGAGCGCAGGCGGUUUUUUAAGUCUGAUGUGAAAGCCUUCGG
rnacentral:rRNA from 1 species